rnacentral:rRNA from 1 species
GAUGAACGCUGGCGGCGUGCCUAACACAUGCCAGUCGAGCGAACGGACGAGAAGCUUGCUUCUCUGAUGUUAGCGGCGGACGGGUGAGUAACACGUGGAUAACCUACCUAUAAAACUGGGAUAACUUCGGGAAACCGGAGCUAAUACCGGAUAAUAUUUUGAACCGCAUGGUUCAAAAGUAAAAGACGGUCUUGCUGUCACUUAUAGAUGGAUCCGCGCUGCAUUAGCUAGUUGGUAAGGUAACGGCUUACCAAGGCAACGAUGCAUAGCCGACCUGAGAGGGUGAUCGGACACACUGGAACUGAGACACGGUCCAGACUCCUACGGGAGGCAGCAGUAGGGAAUCUUCCGCAAUGGGCGAACGCCUGACGGAGCAACGCCGCGUGAGUGAUGAAGGUCUUCGGAUCGUAAAACUCUGUUAUUAGGGAAGAACAUAUGUGUAAGUAACUGUGCACAUCUUGACGGUACCUAAUCAGAAAGCCACGGCUAACUACGUG